rnacentral:rRNA from 1 species
GACGAACGCUGGCGGCGCGUCUAACACAUGCAAGUCGAACGAGCGAGAGAGAGCUUGCUUUCUCAAGCGAGUGGCGAACGGGUGAGUAACGCGUGAGGAACCUGCCUCAAAGAGGGGGACAACAGUUGGAAACGACUGCUAAUACCGCAUAAGCCCACAGCUCGGCAUCGAGCAGAGGGAGAAGGAGUGAUCCGCUUUGAGAUGGCCUCGCGUCCGAUUAGCUGGUUGGUGAGGUAACGGCCCACCAAGGCGACGAUCGGUAGCCGGACUGAGAGGUUGAACGGCCACAUUGGGACUGAGACACGGCCCAGACUCCUACGGGAGGCAGCAGUGGGGAAUAUUGCACAAUGGGGGAAACCCUGAUGCAGCGACGCCGCGUGGAGGAAGAAGGUCUUCGGAUUGUAAACUCCUGUUGUUGAGGAAGAUAAUGACGGUACUCAACAAGGAAGUGACGGCUAACUACGUGCCAGCAGCCGCGGUAAAACGUAGGUCACAAGCGUUGUCCGGAAUUACUGGGUGUAAAGGGAGCGCAGGCGGGAAAGCAAGUUGGAAGUGAAAUCCAUGGGCUCAACCCAUGAACUGCUUUCAAAACUGUUUUUCUUGAGUAGUGCAGAGGUAGGCGGAAUUCCCGGUGUAGCGGUGGAAUGCGUAGAUAUCGGGAGGAACACCAGUGGCGAAGGCGGCCUACUGGGCACCAACUGACGCUGAGGCUCGAAAGUGUGGGUAGCAAACAGG